GAAGUUAAUAUUUUUAUGCUCCCCGAAAAAUUUCAGGGGAGCAUAUAGUCGGCGCCUUGUCCGUCUGUCCGUCCGUCCGUCUGUCCGUCCGUUGUCUUGUCCGGAGCAUAACUUGAAAACCCUUGGAGAUAAUUUGUUGAAACUUCAUACAGUGGUAGAGGGCAUCGAGGGGGAGUGCAGUGUCAAAGAACCAUAACUCUAUUUUGCCCGGUUUUUGAAUUAUCUCCCCUUAUAGAAAAAUCUUGUCCGGGGCAUAACUCUAAAACUAUAAGAGAUAUCAACAUGAAACUUUGUAGGUGAAUAGAUCUCAAUGGAUAGAUGUGCAGUGCAAAAGAACUAUAACUCUGUUAAGCCUUAUUUUUAGCUCACCUGAGCAUAUGCUCAGGGUGAGCUAUGAGGAUCACUCUUCGUCCGUCGUCCGUCGUACGUCGUCCGUUGUCCGUUCACACUUUUCAAACGACAUCUCCUCUGAAACCAUAAGGCAGAUCAUAAUGAAACUUCACAGGGAUGUUCCUUGUGUGAAGCCUUAACAAAGUUGUUCAAAGAAUUCCAUUCCAUGCAGAACUCUGGUUGCCAUGGCAACCAAAAGAAAAAACUUUAAACAUCUUCUUCUAGAAAACCCAAAGGGCUAGAGCUUAGAUAUUUGGUAUGAAACAUCUUCUAGUGAGUGUCUAACAAGAUUGUUC